rnacentral:rRNA from 1 species
CCUACGGGAGGCAGCAGUGAGGAAUAUUGGGCAAUGCCCGAAAGGGUGACCCAGCAACGCCGCGUGGAGGAUGAAGUCCUUCUGGACGUAAACUCCUUUUAGAGGGGACGAAAAGCCCGAUUUGUCGGGAAUUGACGGUACCCUCAGAAAAAGCACCGGCUAACUACGUGCCAGCAGCCGCGGUAAUACGUAGGGUGCAAGCGUUGUCCGGAUUCACUGGGUGUAAAGGGUGCGCAGGCGGGCUCUUAAGUCAAAGGUGAAAUCUCUGGGCUUAACCGAGAAAUUGCCUUUGAUACUGGGAGCCGUGAGUACGGGAGAGGGAGAGGGAAUUCCGGGUGUAGCGGUAAAAUGCGUAGAUAUCGGGAGGAACACCGGAGGCGAGGGCGGUCUCCUGGCCCGUUACUGACGCUGAGGCACGAAAGCGGGGGGAGAAAACAGGAUUAGAUACCCCGGGAGU